rnacentral:tRNA from 1 species
GCCCCCGUAGCUCAGCUGGAUAGAGCAACCGCCUCCUAAGCGGUAGGUCACACGUUCGAAUCGUGUCGGGGGCGCCA